UGCUUAAGGAAGUCAGAGCAUCAAAUAUUGUCCCAACUGAUCCAAAAUCCACCUUCUUUGUCGGUAAACUCGUUCUUUCCCUGGGAUUUCGCUGAUUCUCUCUCAACUAUCAUCUAUGGCCUGUAGGCCGCCACCUCUUCCAUCGUAGCUUGGCCAGUCCUUGUUGGAGCCUCCGUCGACAUCUUCCCCUCCCCUGAGCCAGAUCUAUAACACUGUUUGGACACACAUCCUUCAAGUGGUCGUAACGCCCGCAGCCAAAGCAUAUCAGCGGCAGCGAUUCAAACUCAACCCAUUGAAGAGUGUCGUUUAUCAAUACUUGAGAAGUCAGUGGCUUAUCAAAGUUAACGUAAACCCCGGAAGCCCUGGAAGUCUAAUUCGGGCCUUGACAACAUUCGAAUAAGGUUGCAUCGAAUUGGAAUCCGUAGUCCAAGGCUGCACGAUAAGUACUUUUUCAUAAUCCUCUGUUUCAAAAAUUUCACUAAAACAUAAUCGUUCUCUAUGUCCAUUAAGUGGAACAACAAUGUUGGCUUCCAUAGACUACUAACUCUAUUUUGCAGGACAUUAUAUCCAAUGGACCAUCCCACAAGUUUAAUAACCACCAUUGUUGCCAUGUCUUUGAUCAAUAAAUGAUUAAUUCUUUUCGAGAAACUGAUCGCAGGGAUGCCAUUGAUCAGGGAUCUUGUAAUAUCCCCAUCCAAAAGUUCAAAAUCGUCAUAUUCACCAAGUCGAGACUAGGCAUCUUCAGACCUACCACCCAAAAGUCUUAUCUUUCCAGGAAAGCGUCAACUUAGGUUCUGAAUCAACCGCCAUAUUAGAGCCCUCAUCCGUAUUUGAGUCCUUGAAUCAUACUUUUUUGGUUGAAGGAUUUUCAGAGAAACCAGAAAUAUUACUUUCAUUCGCCAUUUUGAUUGAAGGAUUCACAAUUUUAAAUCCAUUUAUCUGCUCCAUCAUCUCUUCAAUUUAAAUUAAUUAAUUUAGCUCAACAUAGUCAUCAUCGAUUGUUUGGAUAGAGUGCCUAAUUAAUUCUAGAGUGAUUCUUUACUUUUAGUUCUUAAAAUCUAUCUCCUAGGUUUCGAUGUUGAAACUAUUUCUAACUCGAAUUUACCUUCAUUGUAACUAUUAUUAUCUAAUAUGUACACUUGUGGUACACAUUCCACCCUUGUGGUUGAGACAAUCAAUCCUUUCUAUUUGUUAUCAUUACUAAUACUACUACGAUUGAAAUUAGUGAAGUAGAAUCCUCAAAUUUUAAGGAUUGCGAUGGAGUGAC